CCCUUAGAUGUUCUGGGCCGCACGCGUGCCACACUGAGUAAUUCAAUGGGUAAGGGAACGCUAGAGCAUUACCUAAUCUUGAAAUUUGCUCGUGAUGGGGAUCGACGGUUGCAAUUUUCCGUCGUGAACGAGGAAUACCUUGUAGGCGCAUGUCAUCAUCAUGCGCCGAAUACGUCCCCGCCCUUUGUACACACCGCCCGUCGCUCCUACCGAUUGAGUGAUCCGGUGAGGCUCUGGGACCUGGACGGAAAGAGCGUUUCGCUUGUUCUGUUUGGGAAACUUGGUCGAACCUUAUCAUUUAGAGGAAGGAGAAGUCGUAACA
rnacentral:rRNA from 1 species